rnacentral:rRNA from 1 species
ACACGUGGGGAAUAUUGCACGGCGCACACUAGCCGGAUCCAUCCAUGCCGCGUGACUGAUGACGGCCUUAAGGUUGUCCGAUUCUUUCGUUCUGUACGAUUAUGAAGGUAUCCUGGGAAGAAAAUUAGGAUAGUGCGUAACAUCGCCCCCGGUAAUACGAUUCCAGCUAACGCUGUUCGGAAUCACGGGGCGAAAAGGUUGCGUACCCCGAUUCGUGAAUUAGGGGUUAAGUCCUAACGUUCUUCCUCGGAGCUGCCUUUGGUGCUGGGGGAUUGUUGAGUCUGGAGUAGGUGAGUAGCACGGCCACUGCAGAUGUGAUGUUUCGAUUAUAUUCUAACGAGCAACAGUCGCGAAUGCGGAGCAGUAGUCCAGAGUCUGACAGGUGAGG